UACGGAGGGUGCAAGCGUUGUUCGGAAUUAUUGGGCGUAAAGGGCAAGUAGGUGGUCUUGAAAGUCUACUGUGAAAUCCCCGGGCUUAACUCGGGAAGUGCGGUGGAUACUCCAAGACUAGAGUGCUGGAGGGGUUCGUGGAAUUCCCGGUGUAGCGGUGAAAUGCGUAGAUAUCUGGAGGAACACCAAUUGCGAAGGCAGCUCGCUGGGACGUUACUGACGCUGAGACGCGAAAGCGUGGGGAGCAAACAGG
rnacentral:rRNA from 1 species